UGGUGUAUUGGCUAUUCGUAGCAAGGCUACUUAGUUUAACUUUACAUUUUCUUGAUCCCUAGCUAUUCAGAUUCUUACUAUGUGUGUUGGCUAUAGUAGGUUCAGAUUUACUGUUUGAAGUACGAUGUAUCUAGAUAGAAUCUAUCGACCCUGAUAGAAAAAGAGUAAUCCUAUAUGAUUCACAAGACUGAGUUCAGAAAAUUUCUAGACAGUGUAAGUAUGAAUAUUAGAAAAAAAAUUUUAUGAGAUUCACAAAUGAACUUGAGUCGAGCCAAUCUAGCAUA
rnacentral:lncRNA from 1 species